rnacentral:rRNA from 1 species
AGCAGCCGCGGUAAUUCCAGCUCCAAUAGCGUAUAUUAAAGUUGUUGUGGUUAAAAAGCUCGUAGUUGAACCUUGGGCCUGGCUGGCCGGUCCGCCUCACCGCGUGCACUGGUUCGGCCGGGCCUUUCCCUCUGGGGAGCCCUAUGCCCUUCACUGGGUGUAGUGGGGAACCAGGACUUUUACUGUGAAAAAAU